AACCAACGCUGGCGGCGUGCCUAACACAUGCAAGUCGAACGCGAAAGCCCCGCAAGGGGCAAGUAGAGUGGCAAACGGGUGAGUAACACGUGGGUGACCUGCCUUCGAGUGGGGGAGUAACGUCCCGAAAGGGACGCUAAUACCGCAUGACAUCCUGCCUUUGGAAAGGCGGAGAUCAAAGCCGGGGAUCGCAAGACCUGGCGCUUGAGAGGGGCCCGCGCCUGAUUAGCUAGUUGGUGGGGUAACGGCCUACCAAGGCGACGAUCAGUAUCCGGCCUGAGAGGGCGGACGGACACACUGGGACUGAGACACGGCCCAGACUCCUACGGGAGGCAGCAGUGGGGAAUUGUUUCGCAAUGGGCGCAAGCCUGACGACGCAACGCCGCGUGGAGGACGAAGAUCUUCGGGUCGUAAACUCCUGUCGAGCGGGAAGAAU
rnacentral:rRNA from 1 species